rnacentral:rRNA from 1 species
UUAAGUUAUUAAGGGCGCACGGUGGAUGCCUUGGCACUAGAAGCCGAUGAAGGACGUUACUAACGACGAUAUGCUUUGGGGAGCUGUAAGUAAGCUUUGAUCCAGAGAUUUCCGAAUGGGGAAACCCAACAUGAGUUAUGUCAUGUUAUCGAUAUGUGAAUACAUAGCAUAUCAGAAGGCACACCCGGAGAACUGAAACAUCUUAGUACCCGGAGGAAGAGAAAGAAAAUUCGAUUCCCUUAGUAGCGGCGAGCGAAACGGGAAGAGCCCAAACCAACAAGCUUGCUUGUUGGGGUUGUAGGACACUCUAUACGGAGUUACAAAGGACGRCAUUAGACGAAUCAUCUGGAAAGAUGAAUCAAAGAAGGUAAUAAUCCUGUAGUCGAAAAUGUUGUCUCUCUUGAGUGGAUCCUGAGUACGACGGAGCACGUGAAAUUCCGUCGGAAUCUGGGAGGACCAUCUCCUAAGGCUAAAUACUCUCUAGUGACCGAUAGUGAACCAGUACCGUGAGGGAAAGGUGAAAAGCACCCCGGAAGGGGAGUGAAAUAGAACCUGAAACCGUGUGCUUACAAGUAGUCAGAGCCCGUUAAUGGGUGAUGGCGUGCCUUUUGUAGAAUGAACCGGCGAGUUACGAUUUGAUGCAAGGUUAAGCAGUAAAUGUGGAGCCGUAGCGAAAGCGAGUCUGAAUAGGGCGUUUAGUAUUUGGUCGUAGACCCGAAACCAGGUGAUCUACCCUUGGUCAGGUUGAAGUUCAGGUAACACUGAAUGGAGGACCGAACCGACUUACGUUGAAAAGUGAGCGGAUGAACUGAGGGUAGCGGAGAAAUUCCAAUCGAACCUGGAGAUAGCUGGUUCUCUCCGAAAUAGCUUUAGGGCUAGCCUCAAGUGAUGAUUAUUGGAGGUAGAGCACUGUUUGGACGAGGGGCCCCUCUCGGGUUACCGAAUUCAGACAAACUCCGAAUGCCAAUUAAUUUAACUUGGGAGUCAGAACAUGGGUGAUAAGGUCCGUGUUCGAAAGGGAAACAGCCCAGACCACCAGCUAAGGUCCCAAAAUAUAUGUUAAGUGGAAAAGGAUGUGGCGUUGCCCAGACAACUAGGAUGUUGGCUUAGAAGCAGCCAUCAUUUAAAGAGUGCGUAAUAGCUCACUAGUCGAGUGACACUGCGCCGAAAAUGUACCGGGGCUAAACAUAUUACCGAAGCUGUGGAUUGUCCUUUGGACAAUGGUAGGAGAGCGUUCUAAGGGCGUUGAAGCAUGAUCGCAAGGACAUGUGGAGCGCUUAGAAGUGAGAAUGCCGGUGUGAGUAGCGAAAGACGGGUGAGAAUCCCGUCCACCGAUUGACUAAGGUUUCCAGAGGAAGGCUCGUCCGCUCUGGGUUAGUCGGGUCCUAAGCUGAGGCCGACAGGCGUAGGCGAUGGAUAACAGGUUGAUAUUCCUGUACCACCUAUAAUCGUUUUAAUCGAUGGGGGGACGCAGUAGGAUAGGCGAAGCGUGCGAUUGGAUUGCACGUCUAAGCAGUAAGGCUGAGUAUUAGGCAAAUCCGGUACUCAUUAAGGCUGAGCUGUGAUGGGGAGAAGACAUUGUGUCUUCGAGUCGUUGAUUUCACACUGCCGAGAAAAGCCUCUAGAUAGAAAAUAGGUGCCCGUACCGCAAACCGACACAGGUAGUCAAGAUGAGAAUUCUAAGGUGAGCGAGCGAACUCUCGUUAAGGAACUCGGCAAAAUGACCCCGUAACUUCGGGAGAAGGGGUGCUCUUUAGGGUUAACGCCCAGAAGAGCCGCAGUGAAUAGGCCCAAGCGACUGUUUAUCAAAAACACAGGUCUCUGCUAAACCGUAAGGUGAUGUAUAGGGGCUGACGCCUGCCCGGUGCUGGAAGGUUAAGAGGAGUGGUUAGCUUCUGCGAAGCUACGAAUCGAAGCCCCAGUAAACGGCGGCCGUAACUAUAACGGUCCUAAGGUAGCGAAAUUCCUUGUCGGGUAAGUUCCGACCCGCACGAAAGGCGUAACGAUUUGGGCACUGUCUCAACGAGAGACUCGGUGAAAUCAUAGUACCUGUGAAGAUGCAGGUUACCCGCGACAGGACGGAAAGACCCCGUGGAGCUUUACUGUAGCCUGAUAUUGAAAUUCGGCACAGCUUGUACAGGAUAGGUAGGAGCCUUUGAAACGUGAGCGCUAGCUUACGUGGAGGCGCUGGUGGGAUACUACCCUAGCUGUGUUGGCUUUCUAACCCGCACCACUUAUCGUGGUGGGAGACAGUGUCAGGCGGGCAGUUUGACUGGGGCGGUCGCCUCCUAAAAGGUAACGGAGGCGCUCAAAGGUUCCCUCAGAAUGGUUGGAAAUCAUUCAUAGAGUGUAAAGGCAUAAGGGAGCUUGACUGCGAGACCUACAAGUCGAGCAGGGUCGAAAGACGGACUUAGUGAUCCGGUGGUUCCGCAUGGAAGGGCCAUCGCUCAACGGAUAAAAGCUACCCCGGGGAUAACAGGCUUAUCUCCCCCAAGAGUUCACAUCGACGGGGAGGUUUGGCACCUCGAUGUCGGCUCAUCGCAUCCUGGGGCUGUAGUCGGUCCCAAGGGUUGGGCUGUUCGCCCAUUAAAGCGGUACGCGAGCUGGGUUCAGAACGUCGUGAGACAGUUCGGUCCCUAUCCGUCGUGGGCGUAGGAAAUUUGAGAGGAGCUGUCCUUAGUACGAGAGGACCGGGAUGGACAUACCUCUGGUGUACCAGUUGUCGUGCCAACGGCAUAGCUGGGUAGCUAUGUGUGGACGGGAUAAGUGCUGAAAGCAUCUAAGCAUGAAGCCCCCCUCAAGAUGAGAUUUCCCAACUUCGGUUAUAAGAUCCCUCAAAGAUGAUGAGGUUAAUAGGUUCGAGGUGGAAGCAUGGUGACAUGUGGAGCUGACGAAUACUAAUCGAUCGAAGACUUAAUC